rnacentral:rRNA from 1 species
CCUACGUGAGGCAGCAGUGGGGAAUAUUGGGCAAUGGGCGCAAGCCUGACCCAGCAACGCCGCGUGAAGGAAGAAGGCUUUCGGGUUGUAAACUUCUUUUGACAGGGAAGAGUAGAAGACGGUACCUGUCGAAUAAGCCACGGCUAACUACGUGCCAGCAGCCGCGGUAAUACGUAGGUGGCAAGCGUUAAUCGGAAUUACUGGGCGUAAAGCGCUCGUAGGCGGUAUGUCAAGUCAAGGGUGAAAUCCCCGCGCUCAACGUGGGAACUGCCUUUGAAACUGGCAAACUGGAGUGUGUGAGAGGAUAGUGGAAUUCCAGGUGUAGGAGUGAAAUCCGUAGAUAUCGAGAGGAACACUCGUGGCGAAGGCGGGUUCCUGGACAUUAACUGACGCUGAGGCACGAAGGCCAGGGGAGCGAAAGGGAUUAGAUACCCCUGUAGUC